CUUAAGUUCACAAGUGAACUAAAUUUAAAUAAGAAAAAUCAUCAAACAAAACUACUAUAUUGUUUCCCUUUUGACAUUGCGUAGGGUAAUUAUUAGCCAAGCCUUCCCUCGUAGGCCAUAUAAUCAAAUGCUACAAAUUAAGGGGUCUAGCUAUAAAGGUGCAUGUAGCACCUACAUCUAUAUUCUUCCUAGUUAAUAAGACACGAGGAAGAAUAUAGGUGUAUCCCAGCUAUACACUUCACAAGCCUUCCUUGCUCUGGGAACGAAAGCUAAGACAUGAGAUAAAACAAGAAGAGGAAUAUAAAGAAACACAGCAAAAUAUAAAAACAAGCAGACAAGAACAUGCAAAACUUCGAGUUGGCUCAUUGUACUGGGCCACCCACUGUACCCUUCAUAAGCCUCCCUUGCUCUGGGUUUCUCUCCACCGAUUCCACCCCCAAGCGAGUCUCCUAUACUCGGGUUCUAGUUUCAUAGAAAUAACAAACAAUCUCAGGAUUUGACUCUUGUUUGUGGGAUUCAACUUUUUUGUACAAUGUGGUGCAUAACCAACGUCAGCCCUCAUCAAGAAUUGCUAUUGAGUUGGUUCAGACCCAUAGCUGAGGUCAUUGAAACAAAUUUAGCUAACUCUUAAAGUAAAACUGGACGCCCAGAUUUAUCACUCAUGCCAAGAAAAUCUCUUGUUAAACCACUUUCUGUAGAACUUGAACCUGGUUACAGCUUCAAUUGGACUGGUUGAUCAUUUUGUUUUCCAGUAUAUUGCAUCACAACCUGAUGAAGGCCACUUGAUACAACCAUUAUAGUAUCUUCCGUAGCUACACUAUUGUUUGUUACCGCUAAAUUACUCUCUGCAGGUUGCUUAUUGACAUUUUGGAAGACCUGGUGCAGCUGCUCAUUUCUGUUAUGGUUGAGAGUGUUGAGGUUGGAUGUAUUGGAUGAAGAAGAAGAGCUCAUUAGUCCAUAAAUGUUACUUCCAAGGAAAGAUUGAUUACUUCUUAUAGAAUCCAUUUGAGCUGCCUUUUGAAGAAGAGCAGUGGCGGACAUGGGUGCAGUUGGCUUCAAUUUCUUAUUUUGAUGAUUAUCGGAGUACAGAGAAGGCAAUGAAUCCAUCAUAUUAUCAGGCCCCAUGUUACUACCACCUCCUCCUCCUUCUUUUAGUCCAUGAGGCAAACCUGAUAAGGUUAAAUUACCAAAAUUGGCGGUGGAUGAUGAAACAUAAAGAUUUGAUCCUAUUUGCAUCAUCUCUGGCAAGCCAGUUGAACUUGAAGAUGCAUAAACAUUAGAAUGAUUGGCCACAUUAUCAGCAGGACUGAUCUCAGAAAUUGCUUGAUUUAGCCACAGGGACAAUCCGGUCUUUUGUUGAUAAGCACUUAGGGAAGGCAAGCCACUGAAAUCUGGUCUAAAACCUGAUGAACUGAGUUGGGAAAUUCCAGAAAUAUCUUGACCUCCAUGGCCUGGAACUCCAUAAUGAGGCAAAUUAACUGUAUCAUUUCUGAAAUUUAGAUUGGUUGCUGCAGUUGAAUUGAUUCUUGCACUUUCUUCAGCUAAGGCAUCACAAAAGGCUCUAUGGGUGAUAAAGCUAUCUUUCCUGUUAGAAACCCCAAUUCAGAGUUUUGAUCUAUAAACAGCACACUUAAUGUGUUAUAUAUACCUAGUACUCAUUAAUGAAGAGAAGCUACAGCAUUUAUUUCUUAUGAUGCUUAUCAAAGAAAGCAAAACAAAAGAAAUUAAUGUUAUUAAAAACAUGGAGAAAGCGGUGUACUGAUGAUACCUGGAAAAUAAAGUCCCACAAUCACAUUUAUAUUCUCUAGUCCCACAAGUCUUGGAGUGAGCUUUCCAGUCAGAUUGAACUGCAUAUUUCUUUGAACACUUCUCGCACUUCCAUUUCUUCUCUCCAUGU
rnacentral:misc_RNA from 1 species